CGCGAGGCCUACCUGACACGCCGAAUCGCGGUUCCGGGGAUUUAUCUCCGUUGCAACCACACAGCGGCCAUUUCCCGACUCAAGAACGCGAGGAAAACCAUAGAGCACUUGCUGCAGGGGAAGUGAACUGCCAUGUCCUGAGAUAACGAGAGUUUGGGGAGAGAGAUGCCAUAAGUCUGUGGAGAGGUCAAUAUGACAAAGAACUGAAGCUUGCCAAGAGCCAUUUGAGUGAGCUUGGAAGUGGAUCUUUCCCCAGGAUACAAGGAGAAGUUGGCAGCCUGCAACCCAGAAGAAGACCCUGACCAGAACUGGACCAUGGUGGCACUGGAUGUCAACUUUCCAGCCUCCAGAACAGUGAGAAAUGUUUCUUUUGUUUGUAAGCCACCCAGCCUAUGGCAAUUCAUUCUAUCAACCUGAACUGACAGUCAGCAUGUUUCCAGAGAUCUUAUACUGAGGGGAAGUGGCUCAGCAAAGUAAAUCCGUACGGUGAUCUCUACUAAGUUCUGUGACAUACAUAAACAGUGCUAAAAGCCGUGUGCUAACAGCAAAAUCAUUCACAGUUUUUUAAUUUCAACAUCAUUGGACUAAAACGAUAAACUGGAAUGUCAGGCUUCAAUUGUUAAAUAGGGUAGGAUUCCUAUGGGAAUAAUUUUUUACGCCUUCCCAGGACCCUGAAUCCACAAAGUAAAGCUGUCCCCCAAUGUUCACAGAAAGUUUUCAGAAAAGAUCUUAGGCCUCUGCUAAUGGGGAAUGACAAGAAAGACUUGAAAAUCCAUGAUGUGGUUCCAUAAAUGCAGUGUCAUGUGAAAAAACUAGUUAUCCUCUGCUCCCUCCAAUGUUUACAGGCUGACUCAUGACUGAUGACUCCUGGGGAAAAAUCAAGACACAGGUAAGCUGAGCUGCCAAUAGCUCAUCAGAUGUCUUUGGGAAGAUGAGACAAACUUACCCUUUCCUCAGGCUGAGGCAUCCCCACGCUUAGGCAUGUGGCUUGAAGAGCAGGUGAGCAGAGUGCAGGCUGGAGCUCGGCCCUCUUUGAGCCUUUGGCUAUACAUUCUGGCACAGCAGUGGCCCUGCCAGAAGCUCCCUGGCAAAGAAACACCUCUCCCCACUGCACCCUUCCUUCCGAGCACCUAUUACUUUGUUAUUCAUCUCUUAGCAACUUGGGAUUCCUGGGACUAUGUCAUUCUUCCUGCUUAGUUGACAGUGUUAUACAAGAUUAUAUUCUUUUUCAUAAUGUUGAGUAUUCAUUCUUCAGUCAACAAAUAUUUAUUGAAGAAUAAAUGAGGUAUUUGAAGAAAUGAAGUAUUAUACACUUAUGAUAGAUAAAUAAUAGAAAAUUAUCUCAUUGAAACCCAGGGUCACAUCAAGUAACUGGUAUAAUCUGUAUUUCAUUGAAACAUCACUCUUUGUCAUUGCAUAUUUCAGGAAUAAGCAAUAUGCUUAAGGGAAUAAGCAAAUGAGUAACCCAGUUCUAUUUAAGGAAAUAUUUGAUUUUCAAGAGGUGGUCUUCGAAAAGUUCUGAUUGCCUCUCAGGAAAGAUAGUAAUGCUGGCAUUCUGCCCAGGAGAGGAAGGGUAUUCCCAUUCAUCCCAGUAAUUCUAACAGAGGAAAUAGUCCUUGGACCUGCAGCAACAGCGUCAUCUGGGGAUUUGUUAGCAAUGCAAGUUCUCAGACUCCACCAUAGAACUACUGAAUCAGACAUUCUGGGAUGAGGCCCAGCAUUCCAUGGUCUAACAAACCCUCCAGAAAGAAUAUGCUGGACCUGCCUUACACUCAACUGUAACCUUUGGGCUUGGAAGUCACCACAGGCGCUCCAUUUUUAGGGCUGUUUGAUCAAUGCAAGGGCUUAGUUAUGUGAACUACUGUUACCCACCAGUAAAUGCCCCAAUUUUUAUCAGAAUAAAGUAGAAUAUCUACCUCUUCUUGUCUAUUUUGCUUUUUCUUUAGUUCAAAACCACAUUUAUCAUUCACUUUCCCAAAAUGAUGAGAAAUUUUGCUUAUCCCAGUUAUAUUUAAAGAAAUAUUUGAUUUUUAAGAUGCCUCUUUGCCUUUUUUCAACAAUGACCCCGCCUUCUCCUUGGCACCUUCAGUUGACAGUUUCUCACUACUUCAUACUAGGUGCUCAUUUGUCGCCCAUCUCCGAGUGACUUUACCAUUUUCCUUAUCCUCAGCCACUGACAGCCAACGUAUUUUUAAAAUGCAGUGGCCUGGCCAGGCGCGUUGGCUCACACCUGUAAUCCCAGCACUUUGGGAGGCCGA